CGAGGGCCGUGGCCGCUCUCUGAGCGGAGCCGGGCCUGGGCAGCGGCGGGGCCGUAGGACCUCGCGCAGCGUCCGCGGGCCGCAGGGCUGGGGCUGCGGAGGCGAAGCCCCCUCCCCGGGGAGGCGGGGCCUGGGCGAGCUCCCCGCGGGGGAGAGGCGGCCGCCGGGAAGGAUGCAUCAGAAGCUGCUGAAGAGCGCACAUUACAUUGAGCUGGGCAGCUACCAGUACUGGCCAGUCCUGGUGCCCCGCGGCAUCCGCCUCUACACCUACGAGCAGAUCCCCGUGUCCCUCAAGGACAACCCGUACAUCACUGACGGCUACCGGGCCUACCUGCCCUCCAGGCUGUGUAUCAAAAGUUUGUUUAUUUUAUCUAAUGAGACGGUAAACAUCUGGAGUCAUUUGCUUGGUUUCUUUCUCUUCUUCACACUGGGAAUAUAUGACAUGACAUCUGUGUUACCUUCAGCAAGUGCGUCCAGAGAAGAUUUUGUAAUUUGUUCUAUUUGUCUUUUCUGCUUCCAGGUCUGUAUGCUUUGCUCUGUGGGCUAUCAUCUCUUUUCUUGCCAUCGGUCAGAAAAAACCUGUCGAAGAUGGAUGGCAUUAGAUUAUGCAGGAAUUUCUAUUGGAAUACUGGGAUGCUAUGUCUCUGGAGUAUUUUAUGCAUUUUAUUGUAAUAAUUAUUGGCGUCAGGUGUACUUGAUCACAGUGCUUGCUAUGAUCCUGGCGGUGUUCUUUGCCCAGAUUCAUCCCAAUUACCUGACACAGCAGUGGCAGAGGCUCCGUUCUAUCAUCUUCUGUUCUGUUUCGGGAUAUGGAGUAAUCCCUACUCUUCACUGGGUUUGGCUCAAUGGAGGAAUUGGUGCUCCUAUUGUACAGGACUUUGCACCCCGUGUAAUUGUGAUGUAUGUGAUUGCUCUUCUUGCUUUCCUGUUCUACAUUUCCAAAGUUCCAGAACGGUACUUUCCAGGACAACUAAACUACCUUGGAUCAAGCCACCAGAUAUGGCAUAUCCUUGCAGUGGUGAUGUUAUAUUGGUGGCAUCAGUCAACAGUGUAUGUCAUGCAAUACAGACAUAACAAACCUUGUCCUGACUAUGUUUCACAUUUAUGAAUUCAGUUGACUAGAACAAGAACUUGAAACCUCUUCUUUUAGAGAAGCAUUGAGGAGAGGAAGAGGACUUGCAUUGUCAUUUCCCAUCAGAUAACAGCUUCAAAAUCGUAUUUAGAACCAGGAAUGAAGACUCAGGGAAUGUCUGUCACAUCUUAUGGCAUCCUACCUGGACACAGUAUCCGAUUCGAAGAUUGUGAUUGACUGACUGGCAUACGCUGUAGAACUCUCCAUUUGGCAGGAGUUAAUGCCAAGAGUCUGUCAGAAGUAUCUACUGUUUAGAAGGAAAUGGAGCAGCACCAAAUGGGUCUAAUUCAACUGACUGGGACUGUUGGGACUGAUGUGAAGUGACACUUUGCACCACAAGUUCUGUAAAGGGCACGGCACCAAAAUCGUCCAUCUUUAACACCUCUGCGCUAUGGAAUGCUCCAUGCCGUGAAUUCGGUUUUGGCCGCCCAGGCAGCACAGUAUUAUGAUCGGCACAGAUGUCGCUCAGACCCUGAUGUGAAGAGUGCCAUGGCACGUCUGGUGGCUGGAAGGGCUUGGCACCAAAGGGGUCCAACAGACUCUCCUCAGGCUGCAGGACAUUCCCUCUGUCUUUCCCAUCAGUCAGUGCAACACUAAUGUUCUCCUUGGAGUCUGAGAUGGUUAAAAAUUCAUUGCUGCUUUGAGAGUCUCGGCGGCCCACCUUUUUGUGCCUGCGCGCCCUCUCUGGAGUGCGGUAGGUGGGCUUCACAGUCUUCUUCGUGCUGGCUGGCGUGCCAUGAUGCCGCUUCCCGUUACUUUUGGACACAUCCUGCUUUGUGCGCCUUUGGCGAGAGGACAGUUUCUGUAAACUACGCUGUUUGACUUUUUGUUGCUGACUCCCAGCUAUUUCCUCAAAGGGCACAAGCCCAAAAAGGUCCUCACUGCUCUCACUUUUAAUUGUUGAGGUGGGAAAGGGCUGAAAUGGAGUGGAGCCAAAUAUAUCUACACUUUUGGGACAAGCAGGGAGAGCAUGUGCUUCAGGCCCCACUGCAUGGCAGUCUUGUACAUUCACCUUCUUGCUAAAGGGUGCCUUGGUGAAUACAUCAAAUUCCUCUUGCUCUAGUCCCACAGAAGACAGCUUGGUCCGUUGAGAGAAGUUCUUUUCAUUCUCUCCUUGUUGGGGCUGUUGAGCACGCACUGCAAAGAAGGGGACAGCACCAAACACAUCGAACUCCUGUGUAGGGGUCUCCACUCCAGCAUCAGAGGGUGAUCGGGUUGGGGUGAGGAGUGUUCUGUUAGGAUCCUGGAUUGGCCCACUGCCAGAUCCGCCUCUGCAGACAGGGCUCCCGUCUCUGUACUUUCCUUUGGCCUGCUCAUAAUCAGAAUCAGAGCUGUGUUUUUCUUCUUCUUCCUCAUCUUCAGAAUCCAUGAGGAGAGGCCUGUGACCCAGAUUUUCUGGUUCAGUAUCAUCAUCAUUAAAAUCUCCUUGCUCUCCGUGAAGAACUUCUUCAUCAUCUUGCUCUUCCUCUUCACUGCUCUUAGGAGAUGGGGGAUCUGAUUCAAAAUCACUUUCAGAUUCAUCAUUCCCCUUUUGCAAUUGACCUUGUACUGAUGAAUUCUCUGAGGUUUUCUUUCCAGUCCGGUGGUCUUUAGAUACUGGACUUGCUUUUCUAUUCUUGAUAGAGUUUGCAGUGGUAUUUUCUUGAUUCAUGGAUGAAUGUUCAAUUUUCUUUUCAGGAGAACCUGCAUGUUCAAAGAAAAAUUAUUAUAGCAUGCCAAUGCAUUUCAAAAUCCAUUUGUACUAAAUAACAUGUACUAACACAAAGCAUUACAAAUCCCUCAUGCCAGUUCCCUUAGAGAAAGAAGUAAUGUCACUUCCCUGUCAUUAGGUUUAGGAAUGCCCUUGUCCUCAACUAGAUGGUUAGGCCCUUCAGUGCAGACAGACUUGACUCUGUAGCCCUACACACUACUUACUCAUUGUAAGUCCUCACCAACAGCCACGUUUCAUGUAUAGCACCCAGAAGAGGACUCUGAAUAUAGUACACAAGAAAAUUUUCUUCUGCCACUCUCAAAAUAAUAUUUGUGUGGCAUAAAACUCCUGCUAAGAUCCCGUAUUUACCAAAAAACCUGCUUAUAUUUCAAUUCUCUUAUAAAGUUUCCCCACAGAGAUCAACAAGUACGAAGAGCUUGUCUGCUUAGUUAAUAUGUUUCAUGGUAAUUUUGAACUGGCAUUCUGGUGCAUUCCCUAAGACUUAAUCAAAGCUGAGGGCCAAGUACUAAACUGAGACUGUCCCAAGGACAUCUGCUUUCUCUAGACAACAGUCUUCAACUAUCAUAUCUGUACUACUAGACAUUACAUUAAAAGCAUGCUACCUUUAAAAAAUAUCAAUACAUUCACUGUAGGUUAGGUAAUAAAAUUAUAUAAAAUAUAGUGCUUUAAAAUUUCUCUAUAUGGCAUAUAAUAAAAAUAAUAUUUUUGUUUACAUGAAAAUAUACUUUCCUCCCAAUUCACUGGUGUCUUUAACUGAUUUUCCGGAGGUGGGAUUAAUUUGAAUUGACCCAACCACAUAUCUAUCCAUCCCUUCCCGUCCUUUGCAAAACAAUUAACUAGGAUUGGAAGUACAGUUUAUAAUCAUGAAAACUAAUUAACUUAAUGGAAGGACAAAUUGGACAAAUUACUUUCCCAUUAUUAAAAUAGUGGUCCCUAUGGCAUAUGACAUCUCUCAGUUCCUUCCUUCUCUUUCAAAGUCAGCACUAUGGUCCUCCUACCUCUCUGACUAUUCCUUCUUGGCCAUAUUCGUAGAGAUUUCUUUCACUAACAUCUCCUUAAACAUUUAUGUUCCCCAGGCUUCUAUCCUUGGCUGUUUCUCCUUCUGCAUGUCCUCCCCAGGUCUUAAGUACUUGUAUGUUUAAUCCCACAUACACCAUAACGACUGGAUCUCUAAUACUUAACCAAGAAUACUUAUCUCUUUUAUUCCUCUAGUACUUAUCAUGACAUGUAUCCUACUAUUACUUCAAACUCAGUAAUUUCAAGAGAGAUCACCUGUCUUCUUAAACUGUGCUCUCCAGCUCCCUCUAAAUUAGUAAACAAAAAUCUGGAAAUCAUCUUUCCUUUUCCCACCAAAUAGUGUUUUUAAAAUCUCUGGAAUCUGUUUUCUCUUCUCCUUUCCUCUCUCUCAUCUAAAAACCCUGUAGCUUCUGAAGUUAUCUGCCUCCAGUCCCAAAUCCUUCAAACUGCUCCACUAAUCAUGUGGCUAUUGCUUAAAAUCUAUUAGUGGCUCUCUAGAGACCCAACACUUAGCCCAGCACCGGGGAUCUCGAUCUGGGUGCUGUCGUACACAACCUAAUUUAGACUCAAGACGGUGCUGUCUUACUACAGCAACACCCGAACUCUCCCUACUCAAAUUCAGGAACUGGAUAGAUUUGGAUAAAGUAUUUUAUUUGAGCUA